rnacentral:rRNA from 1 species
UACGUAGGGCGCAAGCGUUAUCCGGAAUUAUUGGGCGUAAAGAGCUCGUAGGCGGUUUGUCGCGUCUGCUGUGAAAGACCGGGGCUCAACUCCGGUUCUGCAGUGGGUACGGGCAGACUAGAGUGUGGUAGGGGAGACUGGAAUUCCUGGUGUAGCGGUGAAAUGCGCAGAUAUCAGGAGGAACACCGGCGGCGAAGGCGGGUCUCUGGGCCAUAACUGACGCUGAGGAGCGAAAGCGUGGGGAGCGAACAGG